rnacentral:lncRNA from 1 species
CUCGACUUGAAAUAUUUGACUAUCUGAUAAAAAAAAUUAAAAUCAUUUAUCAGACAAAUAGCACGAAUGUUUAACACCAGAGCGAUGCAAGAAUCAAAUCGCUAUGAAAUACUAGUUUAUGAUAAUAUCAAACUGAUAUAUGAGUUAAAAUUUUCAUAGUAAAUCCUAAUAGGUGAUUCAUAUGUAACAUAUUUCAACUGGGAUUCUCAUUAUUGUUACCGACACCAUCCACAUAAUAGCUAUGAUGAUAAGGAAUAGUGUGGCUUUAUAGAAAAACAAUAAUGAAGAUGAACAUAUAGAACUUUGAUCAAAAAAAAAAAAAAAAAAAAAAAAAAGAUGAACAUAUAGAACAAAACUAACAGAAGAGAAAAAGAAUGGACUCUCCUUUUUAUAUAACUCGAUUAAAAAUAUAUAUACGCAGAAAAAUGUCGGCUUCAAACCCUACAAAGCUCCCCUCAGCCCCUCACAGGCUCACACCACGCCCCUCUCUCGCUCAUGUCUCUUUCUUAUAUACGCACCGUAUAGAUGUCUUAUAUAUUUGGAUUUUUAACGUUAAUACCAUUCGACUAAGUUUUAUUUUGAAUAAAAACCAGCAAACUAAGUAUUUAACAAAAAAUCUUCCAACUAAUUUUAUUUAAUGAAUUAAACUCUAUCA